UUUGUAUUCCCUCCGUUCCAUAUUAAUUGCCGAAAUAUUACAUGUAUUUAUAUACUUUGAAUUAUAAAUACAUGUAUAUUUGGACAAAUUUAAGUCAUUUAAUUUGGGACGGAGGGAGUACUAA
rnacentral:pre_miRNA from 1 species